AAUGAACGCUGGCGGCAGGCCUAAAACAUGCAAGUCGAACGCUCUAGCAAUAGAGAGUGGCGCACGGGUGCGUAACACGUGGGAAUAUGCCUUUUGGUACGGAACAACGUUUGGAAACGAACGCUAAUACCGUAUGGUCCCUUCGGGGUACAGAUUUAUCGCCAAAAGAUAGCCCGGGCUGGAUUAGCUAGUUGGUGAGGUAAUGGCUCACCAAGGCGACGAUCCAUAGCUGGUCUGAGAGGACGAUCAGCCACACUGGGGCUGAGAUACGGCCCAGACUCCUACGGGAGGCAGCAGUUAGGAAUAUUGGACAAUGGGCGCAAGCCUGAUCCAGCCAUGCCGCGUGAGUGAUGAAGGCCUUCGGGUUGUAAAGCUCUUUAGCCGAUGAUUAUAAUGACUGUAGUCGGAGAAUAAGCCCCGGCUAACUUCGUGCCAGCCGCCGCGGUAA
rnacentral:rRNA from 1 species